GAUGCGGACCUCCGAGAUGGCAACAGACGCCAUGGUAAUCUCCGAGGCCGCAGCACGUGACGCAGACGUCCGCCACAAGCGGCGCUCGUUGCCUUUUCGCGGAGGAGAGUAAAGGGAGAGGGCCAGGAACCGAGUUUACGGACAACGCGGCUGGCAUCUAGUAAAGGAGGCAUUGGUUCGGUCGGUGCGAGCGACGCUAGCGCCCCUAGACGCACAUCCUCGUGGUUACGGCAAGACGCUGCCGGCGCCGCGACGUUUAGUUUACGCUUAGGAACACGGAACGCAACUUGUGCAUGACAACGAUUUGUAAUAACGGGCACAUCAACGCACCCUUAACUAAAAUGUAGCUGGGAUGUCAGCGAACAGAACUGGCCUGUUGCGUUACCGCACGAAGUAGCACCUUCAGACGAACAUCAAUCAUGUCGUUUCAGAAGAUCGUAGGAUGGUGCGAGCGAUGUCGGAGCGAUGGACUGAAAAGUCCAAUACUCCUUUACCCAGUCGGACCGACCGAAGCAAUCAAAAUGUGCAGCAACAUGAAGUGUUCAGACAUGGUAAAUGGCAAGAUUCAGGCAGAUCUCGUCAAGAUAGACAUGCCCAAAUUGCAUGAAAUUUUCACAGAGCCAAGUCCAGUCAAAUGGCGUGACAGUGAUGAAGAAUAUCAUCAUCAUUGCGUCAAAGUACCCACGUCAAGCGCCAGUCCUUCAGCAGGUUUGGAGUCGAACAAUCAGAAGAGCAGAACACAUGAUACUUCUGCCACGAUCGCUGGCACGAAAAAGGUGACAACUGAACCCUUUCGAAGACAUGCUGUUGAUAUUUGUGACAAAGUGCCUACUGCAUCCAGUGCCAACCCAUCACCGGACUUGCACCUGGAAAAACACCGGGACAGGUUGUGUCAAGGUACUGCUGUUUCCAUCAGCGGUGACACAGCACAGGCAACUGCCAACCCAUUUAGAGAGCCCACAGUUGGCAUUCGUGACAGUGCGCCCACUGCAUUGUUGUGUGCCGAGCACCCAGUGCAAGUCAACCCAGUGAAACAUAUGUACAGGACAUGUCACACUUCUUCCUCUACUUGUGGCGAUACGGGACAGGUGUUCAUCAAACCAGUCGAAGAGCCCACCGUGAACAUUUGUGACAGUGCAACCAAUGAAUCACUGUGUGCCAACUCCGAGGUGUGUAUGGAUGAAGAGGAACAUGUCUAUAGAGCAUGUGAUACUUCUGCCUCCACUUGUAGUGAGGUGGGACAUGGCACCAUCGACAAAGUACUUACCGUUACCACUUGUGGCAGUGCACCCAUUCAAUCAUUUGGCACUAAUACCUCGCUCUGCAUAAAUACGGACCAUAGGAACAGGUCACAUCCUUCUACCCACAAACCUGCUGUAGCUGUAACAUCAGCACCGACAAUUACCACUUCAUCAUCUGGCUCAGCGUUUCAUGAUUCACCCAUCAUCCCCCUGAGUGUCGGUACUCCAUCGGAAGCGAAGACAAAGAAAUGCAAUGACACAGGAGGAGGUCGUGUUUUCUACAUGUCUCUGAUGCCCAAGGCAGUGACAGUGAAAGUUGUUGCUUCAUCAGAACAUCCUUUCUGUGUUGUUAAUCGUGAACCUACGAGCCCUAAUUUGUGCCCGGCGACAAAGCAGAAAAAAAAUCCUGAUGAAAAGUGUGAUAAGGCCAACAUGCUUCAAAUGGGAAAAGUACUUAAAGUGAAAAUCGUUUCGACAUCUGAAAUGGAGUCCUCUUGUCAUCUCUCUAAUAAUGUUCGAACUCCCACACUCCCUGCAAGUGGUGUUAUUGACUCGUGGCAAGAGGUGGUGCCAGAGGAACUAGAGGAUGAAGUAAAUUGUGCAUUCAAAGUAGAUCCACAUCGAAUGGUAAAAGAGCCAGCAGCAAGAAACAUUUCUGCGCAUUGUCUCAGGCGUGCGAAAGCAGUUGUUACCCCGGUAUCUUCAUCUCUACAAACAAAUACUGUUGAGGGAGGUGCUGUAAAGCAGAAAGUGGUUAGCUCACCAUCUGCAAGCCUGGAGCACAAGCAUAGGGAGAGAACAAAAGUGCCACUAGUUCGUGAAAAUAUCUCAAUAAAUUUAGAAAAAGGUUAUGCAUCGUUUGGUGCUGCCACUGAAAGUGCAGACAGUGUGUGUGCCACAGAAAACAGUUCUAUGGAAUUGACCAUCGAGGAGGGGAUGGUUGUACCUGUGUCAAGUGCCAUUGCAACUAACGCUGCCUUCGCAUCUGUGGGAGAAUCUGACACAAUGGACACAGAGAGCAGAUUUUUUCACAAAAGACAGAACUUGGCGUUACCCUGUGAAACUUCACCCACAAACCUAUCUGCACUUUCACAAGAGCAAGGGGCUAAAAAUACAACAGACCAUAAUUUCAGUGAUUCAGUGAGACAUUGUGGUGAUGUGUGUGGCAUGCUAAGCACAGUAGGCCAACCAAAGAGUGACCAGAUAGCUAGUGAAAUGUCAGAUCUGGCCAAAUCUCUGAGGGAAGAGCGGGCUAAUACUCAAACUGCAGCUAAUCAGCAACCUGCCAUUGUAGAAACUACAAUAAAGCCUCAAAGUCUGCUUGAUGGAAAAGAUGUAGGCAUACAAGAAGGCUUAGCCGUAGUAAGCACGCUUGCUUCGCCGGAUAUCUUUACAUCUUGUCAAGAAGAGCAAAGAGCAGAUCAACACCUCACUGUUUCGAAAGACUUCAGCACUGAGCUGUUGAACUUGCCUAACAGAAGUGAAGCAACCUUAGCAGAAAACUUAAUAGCAAGUGAAAUUGAAACAUCAAUGCAGCCACCUGAACCGUUACUGAAAUCUGGGAACGCAGAAAGUGCCGCCACUGACCACAUUCUUUCUAGCCUGCCAGGUUCCCCAUCCAGUUCGCAAAGUGUAAGUGAGGCAGGGUUACGAGAACAGUUGGCAGUAGUGAAUAAAAUUCCUGCAUUGGAGCUGCCCAGGUCUUUACAAAAAGAGGGAGAAGGCACUAGCAGUGGAGUGCCCUGCCAUAAAUCCCUUGAUUUACCAAAUACUGAUAAUGAGCUCUUCAAAUCGCAAAGUAUAAAUGAAGCAAGCUCACCAGGAAACUUGAGAGUAGUGAUGAAAUCCCCAACUGACCAAAUCGGACCGUUAAAUGGAGAAGGGGGCACUGAAGCUGCUGCUACCUCUGACCACCCUCUUGCUCCGUCCUGUGCAGUCAGUGAAUUACCUUGCCAACCAAGCUCCCAUGAAGCAAGCUUACCAGAAAUGUCUGUUGUAGCAGAGGAGACUAUGUCAUUGGAGCUACCUAUGUGUUCGCAAGAAGUAGGGGUAAAGACUGAAGAUAUUGACAGCUACGUUGACCCUGUUGCUUUUCCAUGUGCUUCUGAUAGACUGUCUAGAUUGCAAAGCAGAACUGAGGGAAACUUACCAGGAAAUCCAGGGGCCGUGAAUGCAACACCCUCAAUAGAGCUGACCAGAUACGUGGUGAAGGAAGAAGGUACCGCAAGUGCUGUCAACUGCUAUGAAUCUUUACCUCAGUCUAGUGCCAUUGGAGAACUGCCACUCCAGCACGGCAGUGGCAAGACAUUGCAAGCUAACAUCCCAGCAACAACUGAAGCCACAUCACUGUCAGAAUCCUUGUGUGACGAACAAGCAGAUACCGAGGGUAUGCACGGGCACCGUGAAAACCUUGCAGCAAGGGCUACCACUGAUCGGUUCAGUUCACCAUGUAAAAGGGAGGCAAGCUCACCAGAACGCUCAGUGGUAGCAGAGGAGACUAUGUCAUUGGAGCUACCUAUGUGUUCGCAAGAAGUAGGGAUAAAGACUGAAGAUAUUGACAGCUACGUUGACCCUGUUGCUUUUCCAUGUGCUCCUGAUAGACUGUCUAGAUUGCAAAGCAGAACUGAGGGAAGCUUACCAGGAAAUCCAGGGGCCGUGAAUGCAACACCCUCAAUAGAGCUGACCAGAUACGUGGUGAAGGAAGAAGAAGGUACCGCAAGUGCUGUCAACUGCUAUGAAUCUUUACCUCAGUCUAGUGCCAUUGGAGAACUGCCACUCCAGCACGGCAGUGGCAAGACAUUGCAAGCUAACAUCCCAGCAACAACUGAAGCCACAUCACUGUCAGAAUCCUUGUGUGACGAACAAGCAGAUACCGAGGGUAUGCACGGGCACCGUGAAAACCUUGCAGCAAGGGCUACCACUGAUCGGUUCAGUUCAGCAUGUAAAAGGGAGGCAAGCUCACCAGAACGCUCAGUGGUAGCAGAGCAGACUAUGUCAUUGGAGCUACCUAUGUGUUCGCAAGAAGUAGGGGUAAAGACUGAAGAUAUUGACAGCUACGUUGACCCUGUUGCUUUUCCAUGUGCUCCUGAUAGACUGUCUAGAUUGCAAAGCAGAACUGAGGGAAGCUUACCAGGAAAUCCAGGGGCCGUGAAUGCAACACCCUCAAUAGAGCUGACCAGAUACGUGGUGAAGGAAGAAGAAGGUACCGCAAGUGCUGUCAACUGCUAUGAAUCUUUACCUCAGUCUAGUGCCAUUGGAGAACUGCCACUCCAGCACGGCAUUGGCAAGACAUUGCAAGCUAACAUCCCAGCAACAACUGAAGCCACAUCACUGUCAGAAUCCUUGUGUGACGAACAAGCAGAUACCGAGGGUAUGCACGGGCACCAUGAAAACCUUGCAGCAAGGGCUACCACUGAUCGGUUCAGUUCACCACGUAAAAGUGAGGCAAGCUCACCAGAAGGCUCAGUGGUAGCAAAUGAAACCUCUUAUGUGGAGCUACUGGGGCCUCCACAGAAGGCACACAAAGGCACUACACGCACAGAGAUAAAGCACUGUGAACAUUCCACUGCGUCAAGUGCUAUCACUGAAAUCUCUGGUUUGGCAAACAAACCUGUGGCUCACAAGCUUGGUCCUGUAGAGGAUCCCCUUACAGCAUCAUUGUACAUUGCAGAGAGCAUGUGGAAUAUGAAAAUUGGUAGACCGCAGGAUACCUUGUUGACACAGGAACCUCCUGUGAAUCCCACUGACCUUAAGGUUUUAGAGUACACUGUGUUGGAAAACCAUGCGAGUGGAGCUGGCUGCCUUUCACUGGCACCUUCUACUUUGCGUCGGCCUCCUACUGGCAGUUUAAAGAGAAAGAGGGGUGCAACACCCGCCAGUACUGUCAGAGCGACUAGUAGUGCAAGGGCUGACUCUGGCACAUUGCAGCAGUGCAAGCCUUUGAAUGAUAAAGUGCAGAAGGGUGUCACUACAGUUUCCAUGGGAACUGGAAUGAAAGUGAUUGACACCACGAUUCAGGGGCAGGCCGUUAUCUUUUCAGUUUUGGGUCUACAAAACAGAAUGCAGAAAAUUGUGGUCAAGCUCCCUCCCAACCUAGUCAACACAACCAAUACGCAGACUGCAGCUGUUUCUUCGUCGGACACACCAGCACAUGUUGAGAAGAGGACAAGAGGGCAGAAGCUGCCUGCCAGCACCGCAAGUGCAGAUACAGGCACAAGUGCAGCAAGCCAAAGCAAGGAAAGGGAAGAAAGAAAAAAACCUACUCUGCCAUCGGGGCAAAAGACCAGUCAUACUGGCUGUGCAAUAAUGGACAAGUUGGCCAUGAUCAACCAAGCCCUGGCCGUACCGAUAACCAAACCAAAGUCCAAGAGAAAUACCAAAGCACAGACGCAACGUGGUAGAGCCCGCUCAAAUAAAACGAUGAAAAUGCCACAGAAAUGCCUGCAGGCAGUGACAAGAAGAGAAGUCGAACAUACUCCGCGUAGAAAAAGAAAAGGGAGUGAGCAGGUAGUCCCAGACAUCUUGCAACCUGUCCUCAGCCCCACGUCCAGCAAGCUCAGUUCCAUAAGCUCAAAACCAAGCGAAAGCAGCUCAUCUGGCACUUCCAAUAAUGCAGCUGGCUCCGACUCUACUGGUGAAAUCAGGAGUUCGCUAUUGCAGUCCUUGAGCAGCUGCAAGUCUGCUGAGGAAUAUGUACAAAUGAUAAAAAAACUUCUCUUCCCAACAGAGGAGAGUGGGAGUGAGUCCCCUGGAUACAACCCUGUGCUUGCAACCCGUCCACCUUACAAUUGGGAGAAGUCAUCUUUGAAAGCACCAAAGCGUAGACGGAUGACAAGGCAGACAACUAAAGCAGCUCCUGCUAAUGUUGACACAGAGCUAGAGCACUAAGUCACCAAGUUGUCUGCCUCCACAGAUGUUAUUCAGUAUGACAGUGUUCUGUCAGAAUUGUUUGAUUGUGUUGCAUAGUCAUGUCACAGCACCGGUUCAUUAUUUAUUUUCACCCUCUUAAGAUGUUAAGGGGCUUAGUGGCAGAGUCCACUGUGCAUUGUACCAUAAAUAAAGUACAUAGUUCGUGUCUUUUUAUUGCAAA